rnacentral:rRNA from 1 species
CCUACGGGGUGCAGCAGUGGGGAAUAUUGGACAAUGGGCGAAAGCCUGAUCCAGCCAUGCCGCGUGUGUGAAGAAGGCCUUCGGGUUGUAAAGCACUUUCAGUGGGGAAGAAAGCCUUGGGGCUAAUACCCUCGAGGAAGGACAUCACCCACAGAAGAAGCACCGGCUAACUCCGUGCCAGCAGCCGCGGUAAUACGGAGGGUGCGAGCGUUAAUCGGAAUUACUGGGCGUAAAGCGCGCGUAGGCGGUCUGAUAAGCCGGUUGUGAAAGCCCCGGGCUCAACCUGGGAACGGCAUCCGGAACUGUCAGGCUAGAGUGCAGGAGAGGAAGGUAGAAUUCCCGGUGUAGCGGUGAAAUGCGUAGAGAUCGGGAGGAAUACCAGUGGCGAAGGCGGCCUUCUGGACUGACACUGACGCUGAGGUGCGAAAGCGUGGGUAGCAAACAGGAUUAGAUACCCGAGUAGUC